rnacentral:rRNA from 1 species
AACGAACGCUGGCGGCAUGCCUAACACAUGCAAGUCGAACGAGACCUUCGGGUCUAGUGGCGCACGGGUGCGUAACGCGUGGGAACCUGCCCUUAGGUUCGGAAUAACUCCCCGAAAGGGGUGCUAAUACCGGAUAAUGUCUUCGGACCAAAGAUUUAUCGCCUUUGGAUGGGCCCGCGUUGGAUUAGCUAGUUGGUAGGGUAAAAGCCUACCAAGGCGACGAUCCAUAGCUGGUCUGAGAGGAUGAUCAACCACACUGGGACUGAGACACGGCCCAGACUCCUACGGGAGGCAGCAGUGGGGAAUAUUGGACAAUGGGCGAAAGCCUGAUCCAGCAAUGCCGCGUGAGUGAUGAAGGCCUUAGGGUUGUAAAGCUCCUUUACCCGGGAUGAUAAUGACAGUACCGGGAGAAUAAGCGCCGGCUAACUCCGUG